AUUUUAAAUCGGUAAAUUGAUGUCCAUUUUCUUUUGGAUCGGUUUUGGACGCAUCCAGAACCAUCCUCAUGAGCUAUAAAUUGGCUAAUUUGUUUGCAUUUGUCUAGGGAUUGGUUUUGGACGCAUCCAAAACCAAUUUCAUUACCGCUAAAAUCAGUAAAUUGAUUUCCAUUUUCUUAUAUGAUUGGUUUUGGAUACAUCCAAAACCAUUCUCAUGAGCUACAUAUAUAUUGGCUAAUUUUCCUGCGUUUGUCCAGGGAUUGGUUUUGGAUGUAUCCAAAACCAAUCCCUAGACAAAUGCAAACAAAUGAGCCAAUUUAUAGCUCAUGAAAAGGGUUUUGGAUGCAUCCAAAACCAAUCCUAGACAAAUGCAAAUAAAUUUGGCGGUUUCACAGUUUACGAAAAUUGUUUGGGUGUG
rnacentral:lncRNA from 1 species